rnacentral:lncRNA from 1 species
UGGGCUGCAUACUUCCCAUGGUUUCAACAGCCAUGUCCUCCACUUGCCUUUGUAAAGUACAAUCCCAUGAAUCCUUCUUCACCACCAUCAUUAACAUGCAUUACUUUCCUCAGUAACUCUAUAAAGGUAAUAUAUAUAUAUAUAUAUAUAUAUUUCAAAGCCAGCAAAAGACAAAAACAUAAAAGAAGAAAGAUUUUUAAAUGUAAGUAAUUGGUAUUCUUAUUUGGUGUGUAUACCUUUAUAAAUGUUGUACUUAUAAAAAUAUACAUGUAUAAAAUUUAGAUACUUAGAGGAUACGUGAAGAAUAAAAUCAGAAGUUAGUUCUUACCACCAAACAGUUCUAGAUUGUUCUGUUGACAUAUAACAAAGCUUUCCUGAGCACCUAUAGUUUGCUUGAAGGUAACACAUACAGUCACUUAGUCCAGCUUACAGCCUAGCAAACAUUUUUUUAAAAUGAUUAUGUUCCCAUGUGAAAUCCAUUUUCACAGAGUAGGCUAGAAAUAGCGUGACAAGAUGUCUAUGUCUGUUGUCUAAGAUCUCCAAAGUUCUUUUCCAUUUCCUUAGAUGCAAGGAAAUUCCACCACAUAAUUUCUAAACAUUCUAGCUUAAAAUUACAAUAAAUAUUGGACAUUUAGUGACAGUGUGAAGAUAUUUUCAACUUCAAAAUGAGAAAGAUGAAUGAAAAAUAUAUUAUAGCCAAAAAUCAUGUCUAUUCAUUAAAAAUGACUUAAAAACAAACAGAAACUAGGAACUCUGUCUAGAUAUGAUCCCACAUUGACCUCAGAAUCACAAUCCUCAUGUCUCAGCUGUCUAUGAAAUGAUCUUUUUUUUUUUACAUUUUGUUUCAUAUUUUCAGCCCUCUCCUCUAGUUAAGCCAACACCACCUACUGCUUUGGCAAAAGCCAAAUGCUGGUCUGAGCAGUGCAGAUUCUGUCCAUCUGCAGUGGGACCUACUGACAAAGAGAUGGAGGGACCCACUGACAACAUGAUGAUGAUGGGACACAUUGAUGAGAUGGUGGGAGAGUUUUUCUUACAGUUAUUUUUCAUGUUUUUCAAGCUGAAACAGAUUUGAGGUGCUUUUCUUACAGUUAUUUUUCAUGUUUUUCAAGCUAAAAUGGAUUUGAGGUCGCAUAACAAGGCAGAACAACAGCCUUUCAGAAUGAAGACACAGAAUUCUGACAAUCAGAGGCAAAAGACUCAGAGGUGUAUCAUACUAUCCACCCUCCUGCCUUCCUUCACCUUAAAUCUCUUUUGGUGCUCAGUGCAAGAAAAAAUGAAUUAUUUGACAAUUGUGCAUAGAUGUAACAGUCAAGGCCAUCCCCCACUACUAGCCCUUCAGUCCAACUCCUUGAUCUCUGCCACUAUUGCCUCCCGAUUCCAUGUAUUCCGCAAAGGAUGGGAUUCUAUUUGCCCAGAAAAGGUGGUUGGUAACCAGAAGUAAGGACAAUUGCUCUGCCCUUCACAUGCUGUGCAUGUUCUCUGCAUGCAGUCAGAAACAACUAGGCUCCUGACAUCCCUGUGGCCACAGCUCUUUUUUCUCUUUGCUGUGUCCCUCUGUGUUUGCAACGCUGUCCACCAUGCUUUCAGGGCACCCCAUGUGCUGCCCCAAAACACACACACAAAUCUCGUUUGGCUACAUCUUGACCAAUGCUCCAGAUCUCUGCUGGACUGUACAGAAUGUGUCACUUUGACAUCCCUGCCACUAUGGGUAGCUAGGCAAGAACUCGAAAUACUGUGUGUGUGGGGGGGGGGGGGGGAAUCAUAGAUGUAAAGACAAUCCUGGCUUCUAAUCUGUCCAACAACUAUUUCAUAUAGCUUCUACUUGAAGACUAUGGCACGGCCCCUUAUAUGACCCUGGUAGAAAAAGGAGUAUCUUCUAAAUUCCCCAUAAACAUUGGUUUGUGCUGGCCAGAAAUCCUACUGUGGCAAGAUGCUAUCAACUUUUUUAUUUGCAGCAUAUGGGUUAUGCUUUUUGCUUUAUUUUUCCCUGCAAGUUUUAUCCAAAGCACUAAAUUUGAUUAAAAUUAGGAGUAUUUUUUAAAGGAAAAUAGACACAAAAAGCAAAAUUACUAAUAUUAACCCAAAUUACUUGCUCAAUGGGAAUGCUGUCACCAGAAAUAAUAAAAAUAUAUAUACUACUAAAAUUUCAGUGAAGAAUUAGCAAAAUUCUUUGUACUCAGCUCAAAAUC